UCGAGGGGCGGCCGUGCCAAGGCCAGGCGUCUUGCUUCGGGCGUCCCGGGGUGUCCCUCACCCCUGCAUCUCCGGGGUGGGCCCGUGUGCUCCGGUCUCCACGCCCCGUUGGGCUGUGGCCGCGGCCCCCAGCUCUUCCUGGGUUCAGCCUCCACGUGUUCAGCCCAUACAACCUCCCGCUGUGGUUGGUGCCUGCCCCUCCAAUAGCAAAGAAAAGAAAAAAGGAAAGAAAAGCACUUCUUCUGUGACCACUUUCUGGGAGAGCUAGAUCUCAAAUCUGGCACAUGGGCCACCAAGCCAGGGUGGAUGAGAGUCUCCUCACCGCAGAGGUGUGUUUUCAUGUUCCAUCCGUUGGUGGAGGUGUGGUGGCUGGUUACCUACACAGAUGGGAAAAUAAAG